rnacentral:rRNA from 1 species
UACAGAGGUCCCAAGCGUUGUUCGGAUUCACUGGGCGUAUAGGGUGCGUAGGUGGCAAGGUAAGUUUGAUGUGAAAUCUCCGGGCUUAACCCGGAAAUGGCAUUGAAUACUAUCUAGCUAGAGGUUUGGAGGGGGGACUGGAAUUCUCGGUGUAGCAGUGAAAUGCGUAGAUAUCGAGAGGAACACCAGUGGCGAAGGCGAGUCCCUGGACAACACCUGACACUGAGGCACGAAAGCUAGGUGAGCAAACAGG